AUGAAAGAAAGAAUAUAUGAACCUUUACAUUUACUUAUUUGUGGUUAUGAUUUAUACCAAUGCUUAAUUGUAUUUGAAUGUGGAUUAUCAUGUGAUGUAAAUGAAGGAUUUUGAGGAGGAAGCUCACUUAGGGAGAUUUUGUGUUUAUCCGUUUGAUUGUCUUUGUUGCUACUUGACAUUGUAGUUGAAUUGAUGACAUUUUGGGACAAAUGUAAUCUGAUUAGGAUAAUACGGAGAUUUGUAAUUCUGGACUUUAUAACUCCGGGAAACUCAUAACUGGUUGUAUGUGCUAAUUGCAAAUUGAAUGAAUUAUGUUUUUCCGCAACAUAACUUUGUAUGAUAAUAC